UUUUAUAAACCACCAAUUACAAAACAUAGAUGCGCCGGAAAUAGCCUCAACAUCGGGAAAAUGAUCGCACUUGACUUCCCGACCUACCUUCCACUUCAAAAUUUCCACCGGAAAAGCAGCUUCCUUCUCAGCUACGGCGGCCAUGCCUACCAAUUGAAGCGAAGGAAGCUGUAUCACUUCGCAUUAUUGCCUAACACUUCAAUGCUCGUCGCUUCCGCAAGGAGAAAGCGCCACCGCACGUCAUUUUCAGUUUCCGUCGCGAGUUCGGCCUCCGUUCCGCCGGAGCAACCGCCCGACCCCCAAUCUAAUGAGAAGGGGGAGGAGGAUCCACAAAGGAAGGCUCCAGAUGUGCAGACUUUAGCUAAGAGGUUUUGGAAAGUGGCUGCGCCGUAUUGGUUCUCAGAUGAUAAAGCCACGGCCAGGUGGCGGCUUGCCACUGUUUUUGCUCUCACUUUAGGAACCACCGGGAUAAGCGUCGGCUUCAAUUUCCUUGGUCGAGAUUUCUUUAAUGCGCUUGCCAACAAGGACCAAGAACAGUUCACCAAGCAGUUAGCGUAUUACCUGGCGGCAUUUGCUGGUGGAAUUCCGGUUUUUGUUUUGAGAGAUUAUGCAAAAGAUACUCUUUCUUUGAGAUGGAGAUCUUGGAUGACAAGUUUUUAUAUGGAUCGCUAUCUGAAGAAUCAGACGUUUUAUAAAAUACAAUCUCAGUCAAUAAUUGAUAAUCCUGAUCAGCGGAUUGUUGAUGAUUUAAGUGCUUUCACUGGGACAGCUCUUGCAUUUUCUUUGACGCUCUUCAAUGCUGCCGUGGACUUGAUAUCUUUCAGUAAUAUUUUGUACGGCAUUUAUCCACCGCUUUUUGUUGUACUCCUUGCAUACUCACUCGGUGGAACAGCUAUCAGUAUCUUCCUUGGGAGGGACUUGGUGACUCUCAACUUCCUGCAAGAGAAGAAAGAAGCAGAUUUUCGAUAUGGACUUGUCCGGGUUAGAGAAAAUGCUGAAUCCAUUGCCUUUUAUGGUGGUGAGGAAAACGAGAUCCAACUACUGCUGCAGCGGUUUAGCAGUGCAUUUGAAAAUCUAAGUAAAUUAUUGAUAUCAUCAAGAAAUCUGGACUUCUUUACUAGUGGUUACCGGUACCUGAUCCAGAUCCUUCCAGCAGCAGUUGUCGCACCUAUGUAUUUUUCUGGAAAAAUUGAAUUUGGAGUCAUAAAUCAGUCUGUGUCUGCUUUCAAUCACAUACUUGGAGAUGUUUCUCUUAUUAUCUACCAAUUUCAGGCUAUUAGUGCAUUUUCUGCUGUUAUAGAUCGACUGGGUGAAUUUGAUGAUCUUUUAAGUAAGAGCGAAACUAGAAGUGAGGCUGACCCUAGUGAAGGAAUUGUUCGUGAGUUUUGCAACAUAAAUGAUUCUAGUGCGUCUAAUGGAUCUAUCGCCUUGGGAAGAGGCCAGGAGUUAUUAAUGCUUGAGAAUUUGACUCUUAUGGCUCCAAGCAAAGCUACUCUUAUUAGGGACUUGUCUCUGGAGAUCUUUGAGAAGGAACAUCUUCUGAUUACAGGUCCUAGUGGAAGUGGUAAAACUUCGUUACUAAGAGCUAUUGCUGGUCUGUGGAGCUUUGGCAAAGGAACAAUAAAAUUCUACGAUAAAUAUGCAAAGGAUUCUUCACCAUGCCUUCCUAAUGAUGUGGCUUCUUCUGAAAUAACUAAAGUGGAUAAGAUGAUACCUGAGUGCGAUAUUCUUGGAAAGAGAAAUGCAAGAGGUGUAUUAUUCCUUCCUCAGAAGCCAUAUAUGGUCCUGGGAACACUUCGUCAACAAUUGCUUUAUCCUACGUGGAGUGAUGCCACAACGCCCAAUGCAGAGAGUGCUAGUUCAAAUGGUUCGCCGCCUUUCCUGAUGCUCCCCCAAAACAUGGAUGCAAGGGCAGAGAUGCCUUCAACUGAUGAUCUAAUCCAAGUUCUUGAAGAUGUUCGACUUGGAUAUAUAUUAUCCCGGUUUAGUCUGGACAGUACAUAUGAAUGGUCUAGUGUUCUGUCCAUUGGUGAACAGCAACGCCUGGCAUAUGCUCGCUUGUUGCUUUCAAAGCCAAAUUUGGUUCUAUUGGAUGAAUCAACUAGUGCUCUGGAUGAAGCCAAUGAGGCACAUUUGUAUCAGCUAAUUGAAGCUGCAGGGAUAACUUUCGUAAGCAUUGGCCACAGAAGGACACUCUACGAACACCAUAAGAAUGUUUUACAUAUAUCCCCAUUGGAUACAACAGAUAGCGGACCCAACUGGCGUUUUGAGCCGCUGAAUAAGGAUUCAGUCUACAGUCUGUCCAAAACGUAAAAUGAAGCUCGUUCAAGUUUGAUCCCUUACGGAGGGUCUAAUCAGGAAUAACAAUCGAAGGACCCAAGUAAACAAUUCGGACCCCUCUAUCUUUCAAUAUAGUGUCCGUGUUUGACCAGGUACUGUCAUAUGGUGGCGUAAUUUAAGUGAAAUGUGAAAAAGGAGAAGAGGGGAAACGUAGGAAUUGAUUUGGCCCAGAAAUAAUAGCAACUUGUUUAUAUGGUAUGUAACUAUGUAUAUAUGUCCACGGAUUUUGAGGAAUUUGCUUUCCUAUUUUCAUGCUCCUCUCACGUGCGUGCCGUAGGGAGCUGUCAUUAACUGGAUCCUCCUAGCAUUUGGAUUAUUUCCACUCCAAUUCCUUUCUGUAUAAUGUUUCUUUCUAAUUCUACAUAUAUGAGCAAGCGCUAUUCAUAAUAAUAGUAGUACUUCAAAUUCAUUUUAAAUGCAAAGUCAUAUUUUAUUUA